rnacentral:lncRNA from 1 species
UCUAACCCAGUUUUCAUCUACACGCAGCGCAGGCAUCAUGAGCAUCGGGUUCAGUCCCUUUCGUCCCAAUCCACAACCCUAAUUCUGCCGGAUCCUCCGAUCGGACUCCGCCGUAAUUCAAAACCCUCAACCACCGCAUUCUCUGUAAGACUUCAUUCAUUCAAUUCAAUUCAAGUUUUCCUCUUUCUUUUUAUAUAUAAAAAUUAAAAUGAAAUAAAAAAUAUCUCCAAAUCGUUAGCUUCUUCAAUAAGUGUUUUCUUCUUACGAAUCUUUAAUAUAAAUUUCAUUUUCACCCACUCUGUUCCCUUUCUUGUGAAAUUGCACUAUUUAAUGGUUUGAGAAUUAAGGUUUAGUUGAAAAAAAUGCAGAAAUUUGGCAUAGGAGUUUCAUGAUUAGUGGAAUUUUCGGCAUCGUUUAGCUUUCAGGUUAUGAUUUAUUCAAAUUUUUUAUUUUUUUUUGAGUGAGACACUCUCAAAAUUGGGGGUUUUCAUGUUCAAUUUUUCAUGGGUAUGCUAUUGCUAAGUAAUGAAUAUCCUAUCAAAAUUAAUUUAGAAAAAGGGAAAAAAAAAGGAAUAGUUAACCUAAGUGUAGUUGGAAAUGAACUAUGGAAGAUACCUGUCACUUGCCUUGUGUUUUGGUCCCUGCAUUUUUUCUUGGAUGUAUAAAAUCUUCUAAAAUUGGGUGAACUUUGUAUUGUUUAUGAAAAAGAAUGAGGGAGGGUUUGGAAGUGCAAGAGAAGGUUCCCGCCUUUACAAAACAUGCUCAAAGGGUACAUGAAUUUAACUGAAUGAAAUGUUCAAGCUACAAAGCCUCUACAUUUUUUUUUCUCUCUUACCCUUUCACCUAAGUGGUGGUGGUAGAUUUAUGACUUGUUGAUGUUAUGCAUUUUUAAUUUAUUUAUUUACCAUUUUAGGUAGCUUUCUAUGAUUGAUUUCUUUUAACUUACUCCAUCUUUUCAGGUGUCAUAAGUAGAUUAUUGCAGUCCCAAGCAUAUGUGAUGGAAAUAGCAAAUGAUUCAGGCAUAAAGAAGCCGAAAAGGCUUACAUCCGUCGUGUGGAAUCACUUUGAAAGGAUUAGGAAGGCGGAUGUCUGCUAUGCUGUUUGCGUACACUGUAACAAGAAGCUUNN